rnacentral:rRNA from 1 species
UACGGAGGGGGCUAGCGUUGUUCGGAAUUACUGGGCGUAAAGCGCACGUAGGCGGCUUUGUAAGUUAGAGGUGAAAGCCUGGAGCUCAACUCCAGAAUUGCCUUUAAGACUGCAUCGCUUGAAUCAUGGAGAGGCGGGUGGAAUUCCGAGUGUAGAGGUGAAAUUCGUAGAUAUUCGGAAGAACACCAGUGGCGAAGGCGACUCACUGGCCCGUUACUGACGCUGAGGCGCGAAAGCGUGGGGAGCAAACAGG